rnacentral:rRNA from 1 species
UACGGGGGGGGCAAGCGUUGUUCGGAAUUACUGGGCGUAAAGGGUUCGUAGGUGGCCAACUCAGUCAGACGUGAAAUCCCUCAGCUCAACUGGGGAACUGCGUCUGAUACUAGAUGGCUCGAGUGCAGGAGAGGAACGCGGAAUUCCAGGUGUAGCGGUGAAAUGCGUAGAUAUCUGGAGGAACACCGGUGGCGAAGGCGGCGUUCUGGACUGCAACUGACACUGAGGAACGAAAGCCAGGGGAGCAGACGGG